rnacentral:rRNA from 1 species
UACAGAGGGUGCAAGCGUUAAUCGGAAUUACUGGGCGUAAAGCGCGCGUAGACGGUUACUCAAGUCGGGUGUGAAAGCCCCGGGCUCAACCUGGGAAUUGCAUUCGAGACUGCGUAGCUAGGGUGCGGAAGAGGGAAGUGGAAUUUCCGGUGUAGCGGUGAAAUGCGUAGAUAUCGGAAGGAACAUCAGUGGCGAAAGCGACUUCCUGGUCCAGCACCGACGUUCAGGCGCGAAAGCGUGGGGAGCAAACAGG